rnacentral:rRNA from 1 species
ACGCUGGCGGCAGGCCUAACACAUGCAAGUCGAGCGGAUGAAGGGAGCUUGCUCCCUGAUUCAGCGGCGGACGGGUGAGUAAUGCCUAGGAAUCUGCCUGGUAGUGGGGGACAACGUCUCGAAAGGGACGCUAAUACCGCAUACGUCCUACGGGAGAAAGUGGGGGAUCUUCGGACCUCACGCUAUCAGAUGAGCCUAGGUCGGAUUAGCUAGUUGGUGAGGUAAUGGCUCACCAAGGCGACGAUCCGUAACUGGUCUGAGAGGAUGAUCAGUCACACUGGAACUGAGACACGGUCCAGACUCCUACGGGAGGCAGCAGUGGGGAAUAUUGGACAAUGGGCGAAAGCCUGAUCCAGCCAUGCCGCGUGUGCGAGGAAGGUCUUCGGAUUGUAAAGCACUUUAAGUUGGGAGGAAGGGCAUUAACCUAAUACGUUAGUGUUUUGACGUUACCGACAGAAUAAGCACCGGCUAACUCUGUGCCAGCAGCCGCGGUAAUACAGAGGGUGCAAGCGUUAAUCGGAAUUACUGGGCGUAAAGCGCGCGUAGGUGGUUUGUUAAGUUGAAUGUGAAAUCCCCGGGCUCAACCUGGGAACUGCAUCCAAAACUGGCAAGCUAGAGUAGGGCAGAGGGUGGUGGAAUUUCCUGUGUAGCGGUGAAAUGCGUAGAUAUAGGAAGGAACACCAGUGGCGAAGGCGACCACCUGGGCUCAUACUGACACUGAGGUGCGAAAGCGUGGGAGCAAAC